rnacentral:rRNA from 1 species
GACGAACGCUGGCGGCGUGCUUAACACAUGCAAGUCGAACGGUGAAGCGCCUUCCUUUUUGGUGGGUGUGGAUGAGCGGCGAACGGGUGAGUAACACGUGAGUAACCUGCCCCCUUCUUCUGGAUAACCGCAUGAAAGUGUGGCUAAUACGGGAUAUUCUGGGUCUGUCGCAUGGUGGGUCUGGGAAAGAUAUUGUUUCGGUGGGGGAUGGGCUCGCGGCCUAUCAGCUUGUUGGUGGGGUGAUGGCCUACCAAGGCGGUGACGGGUAGCCGGCCUGAGAGGGUGGACGGUCACACUGGGACUGAGACACGGCCCGGACUCCUACGGGAGGCAGCAGUGGGGAGUAGUGCACAAUGGGCGCAAGCCUGAUGCAGCGACGCCGCGUGAGGGAUGGAGGCCUUCGGGUUGUGAACCUCUUUCGCCAGUGAAGCAGGCCUGCCUCGUUUGUGGGUGGGUUGACGGUAGCUGGAUAAGAAGCGCCGGCUAACUACGUG